CCCGGCUCCUUUGGCUCUUUCUGCGUCUGGGAUCACUUUAAAGUUACCUGCCUGUGCACCUGGCCCAUGAGGGGAGAGAAGGAGUUCACCGUGUGUCCUCAGCUUCCAGCACCUUGAUUAGCGCGUUGCCCGGGGACACGCCGGUGACCUGAACCACAGGGCCCCCAGAUGCAAAUACCCCUGGGAGAAGCAACAGAACCUCACCAAGAAUAAUUUCAUUCAGUCUUUUCUGUAAAGCCGACUGAGCAAAGUCAAGAAUUCUGCAUUUCUGAAGUACUGUUCUAAUGCUUCCUCCGUGAGUGAGUCGGCAUGAAAUCAGCUUGGAAGGUACAGAUGGAUGGCUGUCCCUGGCAGCUCUCUCUGACCAUGUGGGCUCCUUUCACUGGGCACAACUUGGAGUCAAUUGCUUGCAGUUUUGUAGAUGAAGAAGAGAAAGCAAAAAGGACAUCGGGAUCUUACAUGACCAGGCUGAAAGGAGGCACCUACCUUUUGCCUGUAUUCAAUCUGUCAGAAGUCUGUGGUGUGACCAACCUAACUGCAAAGAAGCUACUGGAGGAAAUGUUUCAUUAAAAUGAGACUACACCAAGAAUAGAAGACAUAGGAUCCAGGAAACAGGGCAUCCUGAAGGAAAAAACACUUAAAGAACUAUCCCUGGAAGAAAAAUGGACUGGAUGAACUAUGUAACAGUUUUGACAAAAUGGAAGAUUAUACUCUUAAGUGUUUUAUAGAGCUAUUCAAGGUGUGGGAAGAACAAGCCAGUGAACAGAUGGAAAAAAAAAGAGGCAGUAACUCCAGAUAGAGCAGAUCUAUAAAAGAAAAUUACAUAUAAAUAUAUAUCUGCUCUAACUGGGAUUUACCUGUAUUUAGUAGACAAGGGAAAAAAGAAUAAGGGGCCUGAGAAAGAAUUCCAUUUAUUAAAAUAGAUGAUAUCAGGGAAGGAAGAUCCACUAUCAGUUAUUUGUACCUUAGUGUAGCUCAUUAUAAGGAAUGAUGUUAAUGUUGAAGAAUAUCAACAAAUUAGAAUUGCAGAGUUAGUGUCAUUGCAAACCUAUUAAUCAAUUAUGUCUAAUAUAUAAAGAACAUUAAAGUGAACUUUGGGGUACCUGGUGGUUCAGUCAGUUAAGCAUCCGACUUGGUUUUGGCUCAGGUCAUGAUCUCAGGGUCCUGGAUCGAGCCCCAUGCCAGGCUCCCUGCUCAGUAGGGUAUUUGCUUCUCCCUUUGCCUUCUUAAUAAAUAAAUUUUUUUAUUUAUUACUUCUCAAAUAAAUAAAUUUUUUUAACAAAAUUUUUAAAAUGAAUUUAUAUGGCAGAAAUUUUGUAAUCUGACCUUUCUUGAGAUCUGACACUAUAUCUUUAGAGAGAGAUGGCUCUGAGUGGCUGGACACUGACAUGAUGGAGUCCAUGUCCUUCCCACUGCCUCCACUUUUAAAGUGUCUUUGCUAAUUCUGAUGUUCCUUUUGUCUACAGUAUUUUUAUGUCUAAUAGGAAUCCAGCCCCACUGAUAUGUAGAACUUAGAUAACCUGACUCUUAGGCAAUGACUUACUUGUGGCAAAUCUGUGUAGUGGGGCUCAUACAAACCUCCAUUUUGUGCAAGGUCGGGGUGAAGAAAAUGUAAUGUUUCACCUGAAAACAUCUGAGACUAUCCCUUUGAUCCAUGUUUCUUGCCUGGCUUUCCAGGUACAAAGCUACUUGAGUAGUCAUUGUCCAUUUAAAAAAAAUUAUUGGAUUUUG